ACGCUGGCGGCGUGCCUANNCAUGCAAGUCGAACGAAACUUUCUUACACCGAAUGCUUGCAUUCACCGUAAGAAGUUGAGUGGCGGACGGGUGAGUAACACGUGGGUAACCUGCCUAAAAGAAGGGGAUAACACUUGGAAACAGGUGCUAAUACCGUAUAUCUCUAAGGAUCGCAUGAUCCUUAGAUGAAAGAUGGUUCUGCUAUCGCUUUUAGAUGGACCCGCGGCGUAUUAACUAGUUGGUGGGGUAACGGCCUACCAAGGUGAUGAUACGUAGCCGAACUGAGAGGUUGAUCGGCCACAUUGGGACUGAGACACGGCCCAAACUCCUACGGGAGGCAGCAGUAGGGAAUCUUCCACAAUGGACGCAAGUCUGAUGGAGCAACGCCGCGUGAGUGAAGAAGGUCUUCGGAUCGUAAAACUCUGUUGUUAGAGAAGAACACGAGUGAGAGUAACUGUUCAUUCGAUGACGGUAUCUAACCAGCAAGUCACGGCUAACUACGUGCCAGCAGCCGCGGUAAUACGUAGGUGGCAAGCGUUGUCCGGGAUUUAUUGGGCGUAUCNGGGACGCAGGCGGUCUUUUAAGUCUGAUGUGAAAGCCUUCGGCUUAACCGGAGUAGUGCAUUGGAAACUGGAAGACUUGAGUGCAGAAGAGGAGAGUGGAACUCCAUGUGUAGCGGUGAAAUGCGUAGAUAUAUGGAAGAACACCAGUGGCGAAAAGCGGCUUUUUUGUNUUUAACUGACGCUGAGGUUCGAAAGCGUGGGUAGCAAACCAGGAUUAGAUACCCUGGUAGUCCACNCCGUAAACGAUGAAUGCUAGGUGUUGGAGGGUUUCCGCCCUUCAGUGCCGCAGCUAACGCAAUAAGCAUUCCGCCUGGGGAGUACGACCGCAAGGUUGAAACUCAAAGGAAUUGACGGGGGCCCGCACAAGCGGUGGAGCAUGUGGUUUAAUUCGAAGCAACGCGAAGAACCUUACCAGGUCUUGACAUCCUUUGACCACCUAAGAGAUUAGGUUUUCCCUUCGGGGACAAAGUGACAGGUGGUGCAUGGCUGUCGUCAGCUCGUGUCGUGAGAUGUUGGGUUAAGUCCCGCAACGAGCGCAACCCUUGUUGUCAGUUGCCAGCAUUAAGUUGGGCACUCUGGCGAGACUGCCGGUGACAAACCGGAGGAAGGUGGGGACGACGUCAAGUCAUCAUGCCCCUUAUGACCUGGGCUACACACGUGCUACAAUGGACGGUACAACGAGUCGCAAGACCGCGAGGUUUAGCUAAUCUCUUAAAGCCGUUCUCAGUUCGGAUUGUAGGCUGCAACUCGCCUACAUGAAGUCGGAAUCGCUAGUAAUCGCGAAUCAGCAUGUCGCGGUGAAUACGUUCCCGGGCCUUGUACACACCGCCCGUCACACCAUGAGAGUUUGUAACACCCAAAGCCGGUGGGGUAACCGCAAGGAGCCAGCCGUCUAAGGGNGGGACAGAUGAUUGGGG
rnacentral:rRNA from 1 species